AGUGAACGCUGGCGGUAGGCCUAACACAUGCAAGUCGAACGGCAGCACAGUAAGAGCUUGCUCUUACGGGUGGCGAGUGGCGGACGGGUGAGGCAUACAUAGGAAUCUACUUUUUCGUGGGGGAUAACGUAGGGAAACUUACGCUAAUACCGCAUACGACCUACGGGUGAAAGCAGGGGAUCUUCGGACCUUGCGCGAUUGAAUGAGCCGAUGUCGGAUUAGCUAGUUGGCGGGGUAAAGGCCCACCAAGGCGACGAUCCGUAGCUGGUCUGAGAGGAUGAUCAGCCACACUGGAACUGAGACACGGUCCAGACUCCUACGGGAGGCAGCAGUGGGGAAUAUUGGACAAUGGGCGCAAGCCUGAUCCAGCCAUACCGCGUGGGUGAAGAAGGCCUUCGGGUUGUAAAGCCCUUUUGUUGGGAAAGAAAAUCAGCAGGUUAAUACCCCGCUGUUCUGACGGUACCCAAAGAAUAAGCACCGGCUAACUUCGUG
rnacentral:rRNA from 1 species